CCGGUGGCUCAGUUGGUUAGAGCGCUGCCCUGUCACGGCAGAGGUCAAGGGUUCGAACCCCUUUCG
rnacentral:tRNA from 1 species